UGUCAGUAUGUUGCAGGAAGAAAUUCUCUGCUACCUUCCUGUGGCCUCCCCCUUCCUUGUGAGUUACAGAGAAUAGAGAAUAGAGAACUUUGUAGACAGCAACAUUGUUGCAUUACUUGUUGCAGUGAAGUAGCAGUGCCAGGAUUCCUAAUAGAAUGCAAGAUGUAGUGUUCUGUUUUAGAUCUCUCUGUAAUGGGGAUAGUCAUACACACAGCAAUACACACACAGGCAGUCAGUCAUACACAGUUACAUUCAUACAUGCAGUAACACCCACACAGUUGCAGACACGUACAGGCACAGGCACAAGCAGACAGUCACACAGGCAGACACAAAGGCUGACACACACACACAGGCAGACAGACUCACACACACACACAGGCAGACAGACACACACACACACACACACACACACACACACAGUUACAGUCACACAAAUGUAAAGUUACCUUUCUCCAUAAUGAGCUGUAAGGAAGGAGAGGGGGC